CGCUCUUCGAACUAUAAAUAUGAAGAGUCGGGCCUGCCCAGUGACAUGUAUUUAACGGCCGCGGUACUCUGACCGUGCAAAGGUAGCAUAAUCAUUUGCCUUAUAAUUGAAGGCUAGUAUGAAUGGUUUGACGAAAACAAAGCUGUCUCUUUUUAAUUUUAUAGAACUUGAUUUUUAGGUGAAGAAGCCUAUAUAAGAUUGAAAGACAAGAAGACCCUAUCGAGCUUUAAAAAAUUUUAUUAAAAUAAAAGAAUAAAACUAGUAAUAAUAGAUGAUUUUAGUUGGGGCGACUAAGGAACAAAAAAGCUUCCAGUGUUAAGUAUUACGGCAUAUCAGCUUCGAUCCAAAAUUUUUGAUUGAAAAAAUUAGUUACCGUAGGGAUAACAGCAUAAUCUUUUUUAAGAGUUCUUAUCGAAAAAAUGGUUUGUGACCUCGAUGUUGGACUAGAAUAUCCUAAAUGAUGCAGAAGUCUUUAAGGGUUGGUCUGUUCGACCACUAAUAUUCUACGUGAUCUGAGUUCAGACCGG
rnacentral:rRNA from 1 species